UAGCAAUAUUUACCCUUACUAGAGGAGCGCAAUGAUUUAAUUUAUCGAACAUUCUGAACACGAAGUUAUUAAAAACAAUUAAGCAUAAAAGAAUGGCAGCGGUGGGAUUCGAACCCACGCCAUCGAAAUGACUGGUGCCUUAAACCAGCGCCUUAGACCACUCGGCCACGCUACCCACGGAAGUCGUAGAAACGCAAGCUUUCAAGUACUGCUAUAGUCACUUCUUUUCCGGUUUAUUGCAUAUGCUUUCUGUUUAUAACGCAAAAUAGAGUAAAAUAAUUUUCUAAUGCAAGACCUUUGCCGCACACGUGUUUUUUAAUUUCCUGGCUAUAGAUAUAAAAAUGUUGAAAAUAGUUGCCCAAAACCAUUAACAAUCGCAUACUGGUUGUGUGGUUCGAAUUCAACCCACGCGGACAUACGUUCAUUGGAACUUACGUCCAACGCCUUAACCACUCGGCCAACCCAGUUGGCUGCAAAACCACGUAUUGAUUCUGAGAUAUGUGGUGAUAAGUGUUUUGGUCCCGAAUGGACGUGUUGGGUUUUAUCGAAUAUAUAUACAGGUGUUAGCACGCGUUAAAACUGUUUUAUCCUUGCUAAAAGAAUAAAUGUUUUUUCC